AGGACUCUGCUUUUCUUCUCGAAAAAGAGGUGCCAGUACUACGUAUCCUUGAGUUCCCCCAGCAAAAAAAGCCCUGGACUUACCUGGCACAACUUCACCCACCUUGGCUGGCCACACACCCUUCAUUAAAGAAAAAGGUAAUUUAACUCAAAUAUUUUAUGCUGUUAUAUAGUGCUUUUUUGUGGGGGGACACAGGGGGACGCAUACCCCUAAACAUUUUGUGAAUCUAAGUUUGGCCUCAUUUAGGAGCAGUAUUUCAAUAAGAGUAGGAAAAUGAGAGUACCCCAAACAUUUUUUUAGGAAAAAAGCACUGCUGUCAUAAUAUAUUGCCAUGCACAUCUGAGUCUCUGUGGGGCCCACAUUGCUUUCUUGGAUGAUAAAUUGUUGCUACUGUUUUUACCUCCAGGUUUACUGAAGGGCUGGGAGAUCUGAGACCCAGGGGUCAAAUGUCCCCCCCCCCCCCAAUGUCAUGGACUGGAUGGACGCAGAGGAAUUGUAGGAGGAACUGGGUGGGGAACUGCCAAGGGAAUCAUAGAAUCAUAGAGUUGGAAGAGACCACAAGGGCCAUCGAGUCCAACCCCCUGCCAAGCAGGAAACACCAUCAGAGCACUCCUGACAUAUGGUUGUCAAGCCUCUGCUUAAAGACCUCCAAAGAAGGAGACUCCACCACACUCCUUGGCAGCAAAUUCCACUGUCGAACAGCUCUUACUGUCAGGAAGUUCUUCCUAAUGUUUAGGUGGAAUCUUCUUUCUUGUAGUUUGGAUCCAUUGCUCCGUGUCCGCUUCUCUGGAGCAGCAGAAAACAACCUUUCUCCCUCCUCUAUGUGACAUCCUUUUAUAUAUUUGAACAUGGCUAUCAUAUCACCCCUUAACCUCCUCUUCUCCAGGCUAAACAUGCCCAGCUCCCUUAGCCGUUCCUCAUAAGGCAUCGUUUCCAGGCCUUUGACCAUUUUGGUUGCCCUUCUCUGGACACGUUCCAGUUUGUCAGUGUCCUUCUUGAACUGUGGUGCCCAGAACUGGACACAGUACUCUAGGUGAGGUCUGACCAGAGCAGAAUACAGUGGCACUAUUACUUCCCUUGAUCUAGAUGCUAUACUCCUAUUGAUGCAGCCCAGAAUUGCAUUGGCUUUUUUAGCUGCCGUGUCACACUGUUGGCUCAUGUCAAGUUUGUGGUCAACCAAGACUCCUAGAUCCUUUUCACAUGUACUGCUCUCAAGCCAGGUGUCACCCAUCUUGUAUUUGUGCCUCUCAUUUUUUUUUUGCCCCAGUGCAAUACUUUACAUUUCUCCCUGUUAAAAUUCAUCUUGUUUGUUUUGGCCCAGUUCUCUAAUCUGUCAAGGUCGUUUUGAAGUGUGAUCCUGUCCUCUGGGGUGUUAGCCACCCCUCCCAGUUAGGUGUCAUCUGCAAAUUUGAUCAGGAUGCCCUUGAGUCCAUCAUCCAAGUCAUUGAUAAAGAUGUUGAAUAAGACCGGGCCCAAGACAGAACCCUGUGGCACCCCACUAGUCACUCUUCUCCAGGAUGAAGAGGAACCAUUGAUGAGCACCCUUUGGGUUCGGUCAGUCAGCCAGUUACAAAUCCACUGAGUGGUAGCAUAGUCAAGACCGCAUUUUACCAGCUUCUUUACAAGAAUAUCAUGGGGCACCUUGUC